ensembl:lncRNA
GUCUGAAUUAAGCUCUAUAUUUUUCUACCCUUACAUGAACAGAAUUUAAAGAAGACAAGAAUGGCAACUGAAGAUUGUGAGAUGAGAAGCAGACAAAAACAAGGGAGGCAAAUUGAUUGAGUUUGUUAUUUUUGUUGGCUUCCUAUAUAAAGCUAGAAAAUGAUCAAAGCAGAUGAUGCAUGUAAAACAGAAGAAUGAUUGGAUUUUCAGCAUAUCACCUUCCAAAUGAUCUCUGCACAAAGCGCUCAACAGCUUAACAGAACUGUUCUGCUAAACAGCUGCCUGUGUAUUUCUGUGUUCCACUUAAUGAUAUUCAUGAAAUACCCUUAUUUGCGAGGAAAAUCACUGAACAUCCACCUACUCACUUUAACAAAUUUGUCUGAAUUGUUAUUGGAGACUUCUGACCAGAUGACUGUCAAGUUCCUGGUUAUCUCAUUUGUUAAACUGUGGAAUCUAUGUACCAAAAGAAAUGACGACCAGUCUCCUCCAGCAUUCAAUGAAGUACCACUUUUUAUGCUUUGUUCUGCAUUAAAGAUUUGAGCAAAAUCUUUGAUUAAACAUAAAUCUCUGGCUUCAACCAGCAACUUUUCUGAAGCAUGGUCAUGAAGGUGUUGCUGCACUCCUGAAGAUGUGGAUGUCUUGGAAUUAUCACAACAUAAUGCUUCUAAACUUUAUCCAGGAUCUAUGGAGAAAGGCACUUGAGAGAAAUCUCUUUGAGUCAGUUCAAAAUUCAUAUGAAUCUAAAGCCAAUUCUCCAAUUAAUACUCUAACUAUUGCUCAGCUUCAUCUUCCACAGAACUGAACUUGUAGAAAUGACAAGUCUUACAGAAGGAUGCAACCAAUUGCUUUUUUUCUCCAUUUCAUGUACAAGUCAUCUGCACUGAAAGAAGAUAAACCAUCUAACGUAUUUGUUAUGUCUUUGCUUUUCUGCACUCAGAGAAAGAGACUCUUUUUCCAGUAACUAACUCACAGAACAGGAGGACGGGUGGCAUAUGGAGGCCAUGUAUAUACAUUUACUGUACCCACAAUAAAACAUUUAUGCUCUGUCUCUGUGAAUGAUGAUCUGUCAUCUUCUACAAUUACUACUUUGUGAACUGUGUACUUAAUUUUGGUACUUUUUUAGCUCCUGGUGUGUGAAGAAUGUGAUAUACAAGAUGGGUAGUGGUACUUUGCCUGAAAGUAAAGGUUUAUAAGAGUAUUUGUGUGAAUGUCAUUGUUCAGUGAUAAAGAUCUAAUUGAAGAAUUCAGUGAAUGUUUUACAGUGAUUGUUUUAUGUACUAUAUCUGCUUUUUAGUUCUGGAAGCAGAACACCAUCACAAUGACAAUUUAUUGUAUACUAAAAAACAAUAUUUACUAUUGAAAGGCUAAAUGUUAGCAUUACUCUUACACUUAGAUUUUCUUAAGGCACACUUAAGGAAACCUAGAAAGAAGAAUUUGUAUUUGGGCUUUUUUAAUGCUUUCCUUUCUAAAUUCUAAUGUAUGUGCUUUGCAUGGGCAGUGUAAAAUGAUCUUGUUUUGUUUUAGGACAUUGUUAGAUCAGCUAUUUGACAUAAUAGCAAAUUCCUUUGUAUUCCUUGUCUUCAAGCUGUUCUAUUCAAUAUACAGUGUUAUAAUUUUGCCACAUGGGGCACAGAAAGGAAUGAUAAAAAACUGAAUUAUGAUGUGGUGAUACUGUAAAUGAACUAUGACUUUAAAAUGGAUAUUUUUCUGAGUUUGAAAAGCAUAGAAAUAUGCGAUGUAUAAUCACAGGCUAGAAGAAGUGCAGUAAAAAUUAUUAAAGGAGCCUGACAAUGAAAACUUACCAAAAGUUAUCCGAACAUGUUACUUGUAUUGUUUCAAAAUUCAUCUUUGACAGUUUCUUCAAGUCUUAUGAAGCUACAAAAGUAACUUCAGUAGCUGUACUUUUAAAACAAAAAUUGAAAAUAAGCCUGAAAAGAUCAACAAAAAGCUGCUG